GGGCGAGCCACUACGAACCCAUAACAUGUAAGGAUUCAUUUUUAAUGUAAAAAUAAGAAGCUAAAAUAAUUUAUUGAUUAGAUAUUAUAUAAGGAAACUAUCCCUUGGUUUUGGGCGGAGAAAAAAUAUGUGCAAUACCUAGGUGAAAUAUCAUGGAUAUUUAUAUGCCAUCCUGUAAAUUUAACGCUGCAUCUAGUCUUCUUGAAUAACAAUACAUGAUAUUAUCUAUCUUCCUCUUUUCUUCAACACCAUUCUUUUAAAAUGAGAUCUUCAAAUCUCCAAAGGGCUAAAUAGAUUACUUAGAAAUAAAGAAUGAACUGAAA
rnacentral:misc_RNA from 1 species